CUGAAUGAGAUGCACCUGGAUAACCAGAUGGAGGGUAUGCACUAGGAGGAUACCCAGCUGGUGGGUAGCCUUGAGGUGGAUAACCAUGAGGGGGGUACCCUCCAGCAGGUGGAUACCCUCCAGGGGGUGGAUACCCCCCAGGAGGUGGAGGGUAUGCACCAGGUGGGUAUCCUCCAUGACCAUGACCAUGACCAUGACCAUGGUGUGAAAAGAGGCCCUUUUCGUCAUGCUUAUGCUUGUCCUUUCCCAUGUUUUCUCAACCGAGAACCAGUCCUGUGACACCAAUAUCAAGAACAUUUGGUGAGAAGAAAAAUGUUUUCUGAUUCUUUUGAAAAAGAAGACACAAGACUUUUUAUCCAAAUAAGAACAAGGAAAAACAUAAUCAUAAACAUUGGAAGAUAAAUCCUGGAUUAUGCAAUAAGUAAACAAGUCACAAACACUAAUAUGGAGAAAAACAUGCAUGUUAGGACUCAAGAACAAAUCCAUAACGGCACCAAUUUAUUCCAGCAAACAAGAAAUUACAAAAAUUUCAAGAAAUAGUUCAAUAUCAACAAAUUGCCCAAAGCCAAAAAUCGCCACUUUAAUCCAAUCAACAACUAGAUAAGCAGCAAGGGUUUCAAUUGGAAGCGAUAACGCAAAAAUUCCCCAAAGAGUUGAUGGGAAAACUUGUGAAAUUAAAAAUAAUUUUGAGAUCUUAAGAAAACAAAACCAUUUUUUGGGAAGUUUCCAAUUUUCGAUAAGAUUAAAGGGACGGGGACAUCAAACACAAGCGAUCACAAAACACGUUGUCUGAAACCUAGUCAAAACAACAAUAUAUACAACUAAAUAAAAGAAGAACAUCUUCGAGAGAAAAAAGCAAAAAGACAAGAUAAAAAGGGAUGAGAGAUC
rnacentral:lncRNA from 1 species